CAAUCGGCCCUUUUCAGGGCCACCAAUAUUAUUCAAACGUAUACC
rfam:Trichomalopsis sarcophagae strain Alberta scaffold6660, whole genome shotgun sequence.